UACGUAGGGUGCGAGCGUUAAUCGGAAUUACUGGGCGUAAAGCGUGCGCAGGCGGUUCGUUAAGUCUGAUGUGAAAGCCCCGGGCGUCAACCUCGGGUAAGUAGGCGAUUGGUAAACGUAGGCGGGGCGUUGAGUGUGGCAGAGGGGGUGGAAUUCGCGUGUAGCAGUGAAAUGCGUAGAGAUGCGGAGGAACACCGAUGGCGAAGGCAGCCCCUCGGGCGUAACACUGACGCUCAGGCGACGAAAGCGUGGGGA
rnacentral:rRNA from 1 species